rnacentral:rRNA from 1 species
CCUACGGGAGGCUGCAGUGGGGAAUAUUGCACAAUGGGGGAAACCCUGAUGCAGCGACGCCGCGUGAGUGAAGAAGUAUUUCGGUACGUAAAGCUCUAUCAGCAGGGGAGAAAAUGAAGGUACCUGACUAAGAAGCCCCGGAUAACUACGUGCCAGCAGCCGAGGUAAUACGGAGGGGGCAAGCGUUAUCCGGAUUUACUGGGUGUAAAGGGAGCGUAGACGGCAGAGUAAGUCUGGAGUGAAAUCCCAUGGCUUAACCAUGGAACUGCUUUGGAAACUGUGCAGCUGGAGUGCAGUAGAGGUAAGCGGAAUGCCUAGUGUAGCGGUGAAAUGCGUAGAUAUUAGGCGGAACACCAGUUGCGAAGGCAGCUUACUGGACUGUAACUGACGUUGAGGCUCGAAAGCGUGGGGAGCAAACAGGAUUAGAUACCCGAGUAGUC